rnacentral:rRNA from 1 species
AUUGAACGCUGGCGGCAUGCCUUACACAUGCAAGUCGAACGGUAACGGGCCUUCGGGUGCCGACGAGUGGCGAACGGGUGAGUAAUGCAUCGGAACGUACCUUUCAGUGGGGGAUAACGUAGCGAAAGUUACGCUAAUACCGCAUAUUCUGUGCGCAGGAAAGCAGGGGAUCGCAAGACCUUGCGCUGAUUGAGCGGCCGAUGUCAGAUUAGCUAGUUGGUGAGGUAAAGGCUCACCAAGGCGACGAUCUGUAGCGGGUCUGAGAGGAUGAUCCGCCACACUGGAACUGAGACACGGUCCAGGCUCCUACGGGAGGCAGCAGUGGGGAAUUUUGGACAAUGGGGGCAACCCUGAUCCAGCCAUGCCGCGUGAGUGAAGAAGGCCUUCGGGUUGUAAAGCUCUUUCGGCCGGGAAGAAAUCGCAUGGGUUAAUACCCUGUGCGGAUGACGGUACCGGCAUAAGAAGCACCGGCUAACUACGUGCCAGCAGCCGCCGUAACAC